AUUAUUUUAACAAAAAAAAUGUAAUAAAUUUAGAAUUUAUAAAUGUAACUUAAAUUACAAAUAAUA
rnacentral:tRNA from 1 species